GGCCGGAGCCGCCAGCAUAGCCGCGCUCCCGCGGGGCGGGACGGGAACUUGAGCCCGCUUUGAGCGCAGAGCCCGGGGAUCUCCCUUCGUGGGGAGCCUCAGGCCGCUGCGGGUGAAGGGCCGGAGGGGAAAGCAGGCCUGACCUGGGCCGCGUCAGGGGCUCUGAACCUGUGAUCACCUACGCGAAACCAAAUCAGUUUCAUCAGCCCUGCGUGGAUUCUCCCCCCACUCGUGCCCAGCAGCACCGCGCUGGUAACUGAAAGCCGCGAGUACUUCCUGGGGCUCCUAAGGUCACCCGUCCGGUAUCGGCCGGCCAGCCUGUGCCAGGGGCAGCAUUCGAAUCCAGAACUUCUUGCCUCCGAGGCUUCGGCCCUUUUAGGGGCUGACGGAGACUUCUUAAAAACACACGCGUUCGCAUGCACCUUUAAGCAGCUCGCGGCCGAGGGCCAUAGCCAGGGACAGGUAGUGACAUGAGCCAAGAGACCGGCCCCAGGUUCCUCAAGGCGCCUUACAGAGCUGGAAGGGACGUUAGAGACAAUCUAAUGCGCCUCUUUCUCUCUCCUUCCCUCCCUCUCUCCCGCUCUCGUUCUCUUCCCUUGUCUCUCUCCCCUGCCUUUCUCGGCCUCCCUCUUCUCCCGUCUUCCUUCCUUCCCCGCAGCUCCUUCAUGGAGGAGGUUUCCCUACGAGGGCUUCCAGGGAGCUUCCAGGUCCGGCCUCUCCCUUCCCCUGCUCCCAAAGUCCUUUUCCACAUCUAAAUUCUACCGCUUCACCUAUGAAACCUGGGCAUUGCGUUAAAACACAAGGAAAAGUGUGCUUUCGCCCAGCGGGGUUGCACCGCAGGAUGCUCUUAGAGCCCUCUUGCUUAACUUCCCGCAUCCGUUGGAGACGUUAAUAGUGGUUCACUUAAGCAAAGAGUUUUUAUUUUUUAUAGGAUCCACCCCUCCCUUCCCACCGAGGUGGAGACCCCCUUUUCAUUCUCUCUCUUAAUGAUUGAAUUUCCCCAGAGGCAUCAGGUUGCUAAACAACUGCAGUCUUUCCACCUACUGAGAGACAUCGCAGGGGCCAGGGCAGCUCCUUCCCAGACCUGGAAAACAGGUGCAAUUAAUGAAGAGGUGACAUUUAUCCAUUUUUACAAGGCACCUUCCAGAGAAAAUGCCUUGGGAGUUUGAUUUUUAAUCCAUUUAUUACUGAUGGGCAAUUUAUUUCAUGGUAGUUGUGGUGGAGAGGGACCUCGUGGAAGGAUUUUAGGCUAGAUGUGCUCCCUGAAUUUAUACGUAGGGAAUGUGUUUCUGCCAUUUUCCUUAGUUAAACCAUUCUCAUACAAGUGUGAUUGACCCUUAAUGUAGCUUUGUUUUUUAGACUCUGAGAGGACACACGCUCCCCUGGCUAAUGUUAGAACCAGUGUGAGUAGGGGGGCCCCUAGGAGAUUGCUCAGACUCAGAAUGUGCCCUCUGGUCCUAUAUAUAAGCAAUAUUGCUAUUCCCUCUGCAGAACGUGAUUUAUUUAUUUAGAGCAUCAGGGAGGAGCUGCUGUACCUCAUCCACAAAUCCAGUCAAUAUGUGAUGGAGCAGAGACAAGUACUGGCUACGUUAGAGUGAUCAUCUUUAGCUGGAGAAGGAUGUCUGCCCAUGAAGCCAUCUGGCCCAUCCAAGAACCAAGUCAGUUCUUUCUCUGGCUCCUGCCAAACUUUGCCCAGGUCCAUUAAGCCAGUGGAACAAAUGCAUAAUGAGACUCAGGACAAUUUAAGGGGUUAGGCUGGAAAGAGUUCUGCGUCCAACCUCCAUCUUAUUCUACAUUCCUGUUCUAAGGUCCGUCCCUGCCGGUUCUGGAAGGAAGGGCUCUUAGAAGCUAAAAUGCUGGAGCUGGAGGGAACCUUGGGGCAGAGGAUGUUAGAACCAGAGGAGACAGAAACUAGUCCAGUCGACUCAUUUGAACAAGAAAAGCUAGGCUCAAAGAGGAGGAAGGUAACUUGCCUGAGAGCAUACCAAUAAAUUAAGAGCAGUCUCCCCUACUAGAGUAUAAGCUACUUGAGUUCAGGAAUAUAUAAUCAUAGUCUCACAGGAUUUAGAACAGGAAGGGGUUUGGGAAUCUUAAAUGUCAAAGUUGGAAAGGACCUUAGAACAUGGAUUGUCAGAGUUGGAAGGGGCCUUGGAAUAUCUACAUCAACACCUGGAGAAACCUUAGAACAGAGAAUUCCAGAGCUGAGAGAGUGAGAGAGACCAGAGGCUCAGUAUUUUCAUGGGGAUUGAUGGGGAAACUGAGCCCUAGAGAGGGAGAACUAUCUUGUUUGAGAUGAUAUAGUGAGUUAAGGUAAGGGUUUCCCUAACUAGAUCUUAGUUAUCUUAGAUUUAGAACUAGAAAGCAUUAGUGCAACCUCUUCAUUUUAUAGGUCAGAAAAUCAUUACUGGGGAAGUAAAGGGAUUUUGCCCUGGAUCACACAGGCAUAAAGGAAUCCAGUCAACAUUUGAACUCAGCUCUUCUAAACUCCGUUUUUUAUGUGACACUUCCUCUCCUAAUCAGCCUUCUACUCCCCUGGAUGCCUGUUAUGAAACCUUGUAGAAUGGAUUGAAUUCAGCUUCAUUGCCCAGAGCAGAAGACCCUCAGAAAGCCCAAGGGGGCCUAAGGGAGGCUGUGGAGGCAGCUCACUCCCUCUGCCUGGCUCCGGUUCUGUCCCUCUAGGAGAAUCUCCUUCAAGGGCACCCUGUCCGAGGAGCACGUGUGGGGAAACAGCCUGGGGUUGCUGACGGGAUACCUGGGAGAGAUCCUGGAGGCCAUCACAGCCUCCAUGUACAAGUGUCCUUGGGCCAUGAGAGUAGCUUUCAGACAGCUGCACCAGAGAAUGGAGGAGCACUUUCCGGAGACGGAGCAUGAGCUGUAGGAAUCUACAACUGAUUCCUCCACAAGCUGGUGAGAUACCUGGGUCAGUCCCAGCUGAGCCUGGAGAAGAAGGAACAAAGAAGAGAAAAGCAGCAGGAUUGAAGUGGGUCCAUGAAGAUUUGUGUUUGAGAUGACAAAACUUUGAGGGAAGGCAUUAAGGAAUGGAUCACAAGAUGUCUUACAAAGGGAAAGAGGCCAAAGGUUUAGGGGAAAAAUCUCAGACAUCCUCAUUACUAUGGAAGUAUCAAGAGCUGAUGACGUAUUUGCCAACAUUUCUAUCCAUAUAAAAUUGUUGCUCCAAUAAUGUACAUGUCCUUCAUUAAAGUAUUAGGAGGGGAAGAACAGACAAUCCAUAGUAGAUUGAAACUUUGUCAUCACACAAUCAACUGAAAAAUGUUGAAAAUCCAAGAUCACAUUAUGCUUUAUUGUUUGUGGAACAUUACAAAAAAAAUAGAGUACAAUGUUGCCUUAGAGACCUUCUGCAACAAGAUAUGUCCUAUGUAUAUGGAAGGAUGAAACUCCCCCACAAAUUAAUGUAAACACACAUGCACACUUUCCAAAACAGAAGGCCCAGAUUGCUCUGCUGAAUCAAUUAACCGAAUCUGUGUAAACUAAUUAAUUUGAAAGGAUUAAAGUAUUUUGAUCAUUGGAUAAAGAUAGGUGAUUUCUUGUGAAAUCUGAAAGAAUUCCUGUACAUAAAACAGCAAGCUAGUUUAACCUCCAGGAGCUAAUAAAAGCAAAUGGACAGAUCGACAUAGGUGACUGAGGAUCCACACUCUGCUUUUCCCACAAAUGGUCAUCUAACUUUUGCUUGAAGACUUUUAUUGAGGAAUCAGUAUCUUAAAGGGGGCCUGUGCUAGUUAGGGCAGCUCUCAUUGUUAAAAAAUUUUUCCUUGCAUCCAAGGUCUAGUGGAGAAGUUCCACCAUGACCCUGAAAGGGAAUUUCUUUGUAUCCCCAAUGCUUGGCACAUAGUAGGUGCUUGAUGAAUGCUUGUGGACUGACUGACUCUAGUAUUAGUAGAAAAGUAGUACUGUUUGGUUUGCAGAAAAGAAGAAUUAGGGAAGAUUAGUGGGUUUUUUUUUUGAUUGAAUUGAUGUAAAAGGAACUCUUGGUAAGAAAAUACUUUUUUGAAAUUCAGAUCCCUAAUUGUUCAACCCUCUCUAGUCUUUGAGAGCUGUCAGGGAGCAUUGAGAGGGACCUUAAGAGGUGGUGAGUUUCCCAGAAUCACCUAAACAGGAUGGAUUAGAAAUGGGACUUGAAAUAAGAUGGAGAUCAUGAUGUCAAUUGUAAAAUAUGAUUGUCAUAUAAAAUUCAACAUGAACCAGGAAUAUAUUGAUCCUGACAAAGUAAUGAAUCCAAUAGUCUAAUCGGCACAGGGUAGAGAAUGAUUAACAGCCCCUACAAAAUAGAGUAAAAAUCUCUUCCUAGGAUGUUAUUGUUAUGCAGCAAGUUAAAAAAUAUGAUGUGUUUAUCUUUUAGGACAAGGAUCUCAUCAUCAUACUUCCCACGGCCCCAGUGGAGAGAUAGGAGAAAAUAGGAAGUUUAGAACAGUGACUUUUUUGGGAGGACCCAUGGGUAGUGGUGAAAAUGUACUGGAAGGGUGUCUGCAGAUGAGGUUUUGGGAGUUUUUAGAUAUAAUCAGAGAAGAAUAAGACUGUAUAAUUCAAAGAGCAAGCAGUUUCCAUUCCCAUGAAGCCAGCAACAGCCCCAUUUCCAAAAAUAUCUUAGAAUGGCAGCAAAAAUAAAGAUCAAAGCAUCUCAUCCUCUGAGAGAAUCUCGCCCAAUUAAUUUCAUUCCUGACUUUGAAUCCUGAUAAUAUCCUUUAGAGGAAAAUUUUAUGCUUGACACUUACUAUCAUUUAAAUGCAAAGCUGUUCUUAAAAAAAAAUUGUCCCUAGUGUUUGGAACAGUACUUGGCCCAUAGUAGGUACUUAAUAAAUUCUUGUUGACUGACUGUUGACUAGCUGUCUAAUUGGUACAUUGUGGAAUAAAAACAUGAUGAAAUCAAAAGUUCCUGAUAAUAGUUAGCAUUUAUAUAGAUUGAAUAAUAAUAUAAUA